rnacentral:rRNA from 1 species
AAUUCCGUGCCAGCAGCCGCGGUAAUACGGAAGGUGCAAGCGUUAAUCGGAAUUACUGGGCGUAAAGCGCGCGUAGGUGGUUUGUUAAGUUGGAUGUGAAAGCCCUGGGCUCAACCUAGGAACUGCAUCCAAAACUAACUCACUAGAGUACGAUAGAGGGAGGUAGAAUUCAUAGUGUAGCGGUGGAAUGCGUAGAUAUUAUGAAGAAUACCAGUGGCGAAGGCGGCCUCCUGGAUCUGUACUGACACUAAGGUGCGAAAGCGUGGGUAGCGAACAGGAUUAGAUACCCUGGUAGUCCACGCCGUAAACGAUGACAACUAGCUGUUGGGAGACAAUGUCUUUCAGUGGCGCAGCUAACGUUUUAAGUUGUCCGCCUGGGGAGUACGGCCGCAAGGCUAAAACUCAAAUGAAUUGACGGGGACCCGCACAAGCGGUGGAGCAUGUGGUUUAAUUCGAUGCAACGCGAAAAACCUUACCUACUCUUGACAUACUUGGAAGCUCUUGUAAUGAGAGUGUGCCUUUUGGAGCCAAGAUACAGGUGCUGCAUGGCUGUCGUCAGCUCGUGUCGUGAGAUGUUCCGUUAAGUCGGAUAACGAGCGCAACCCUUACCCUUAUUUGCCAGCGAUUCGGUCGGGAACUAUAAGGGGACUGCCGGUGAUAAACCGGAGGAAGGUGAGGACGACGUCAAGUCAUCAUGGCCCUUACGAGUAGGGCUACACACGUGCUACAAUGGGAAAUACAGACGGACGCUAAGCCGCGAGGUGGUGCUAAUCCUAGAAAGUUUCUCGUAGUCCGGGAUUGGAGUCUGCAACUCGACUCCAUGAAGUCGGAAUCGCUAGUAAUCGCGAAUCAGCAUGUCGCGGUGAAUACGUUCUCGGGUCUUGUACACACCGCCCGUCACACCAUGGAAGUGGAUUGCACCAGAAGUAGAUAGUCUAACCUUCG